ensembl:lncRNA novel transcript
AGAACACUCCGCGAAGGUGUUCCUGAACUUCAUUUCCCAGAGGCUUUAGCUAACGUGUACUUUCGCCCUGCGAUGGGCCGCACAUUUUCGCCGCCAGUCUUUUGCUCCUGUUUCAGGCAAAACUUGGAAGCAGCCAGAUGUCCUUCAGUACAUGAAUGAAUACAUAAACUAUGGUACAUUCAGACAAUGGAACAUUCAGUAAGGAAAAGAAAUGAGCUAUCAAGCUACCAAAAAGGAAGAACAGAAGAAUAUUAAGUGCGUAUUGCAUUGUCAUGGACUCGAGGUUUUCUGCAGAGGAACACAACAUAAGGAGCAUCAGUUUGCUCAUUCACAUCUGGGAGGCAUGCUGUGCUCUGCAAAAUGUGAUUCUCAAAGUAUGGUUCCCAGACCAGCAGCAACAGAAUUUGGCAACUUGUUUAGAAAUGUAAAUUGCUUUCUGACUGCUCUGUGUUUUCUUUGAGCCUGUAUUUGUCUAUUUGGCAUCCAUUGAUCCAUUUGGCAUCGUUGAUCAGAGGGGCCAAACUAUAGCCAAAGUUAUUUACUUCUCCUGCUAUCCAGAGCCCAUACUUUGAAUGACCUCCUUUAUCUAACUCACACACUAAGCCAAUAUUUCCCCUGGGGUAAGUCAACUAAGGGCCAAAUAUCAGACAACCAGGGACAGCCUCUAUAUCCAAAGCCUGCCAGAAUUAUUCAAACUAGCCAAUUCUAAACUGUUUACCCUGAUCUGCCCUGCCUUUCCCAUGGAAACCCCAACAAAGACUUUAAUUUAUGCCUUCCUUUUCACUCCUUUCUGCCUCCUGGGUGACACUGGUACUUCCCAGUGUGGCCCUGCAUGGUGUGCUGCACUUCUCGUUUCUAGGGAAACUGUGAAUAACAUUAUAAUUUUCUUUCAAUGGCAUUGACCUCUCUGUCUUCACUCCAUCAUCUUUAUAAAUUAAGACCUGGGCACAAAUCACUGACAGACUUACCUGAAAUGAACAAUUCUAGUGAAAGCAUCUUGAGUUCCUACUUUCUUGAUUGUGGGAACAACAACAGCCUCGAUGGAGACUAUUUCUUCGAGGUUAUUUUGGGAACAAUUCCUGCAGAAUCAAAUUAGAACUGAUACCUUCCUCCAUCCCUCUCUUCUAAAAAUUUUGUAAGCCUCUAUAUUCUUUAUUAAUCCCGUUUUAUUUAAAAUAGUUUGAGAGGUUUUGAUUCUUAGGUACAGUUUUUUUAUUAUUUAGUUUGGCCGGGCACAGUGGCUCAUGCAUAUAAUCUCAGCACUUUGGGAGGCUGAGGCAGGUGGAUCACCUGAGGUCAGGAAUUCAAGGCCAGCCUGGCCAACAUGGCGAAACCUCAUCUCUACUAAAAAUACAAAAAUUAGCUGGGCGUGGUGGCGUGUGCCUGUAAUCCCAGUUACUCAUAGGGCUGAGGCAGAAGAAUCCUUUGAACCUAGGAGGCGGAGAUUGUGCCACUGCACUCCAGCCUGGGCAACAGAGUGAGACCCCAUCUCAAAAAUAAAAUAAAUAAAUCAAUUAAUUUAAUUAAUUAAUUUUUUUUUUUUGGUAGAGAUAAGGGUCUUGCUUCGUUGCCCAGGCUGUUGCCCAGGUUGGUCUUGGAUGCCUGGCCUCAAGUGAUCCUCCCACCUCGGCCUCCCAAAGUGCUGCAUUUACAUAUGUGAGCCACCACACCUUGCCUAAGUACAUUUUUAAUUGACAUAUAACACAAUAUUGAUACAGAAAGGUAUCUGUAUCAUAAUUAUACAGCUCAAGAAAUUUCACAAAGUGAACACACCUAUGAACCCAGAACUCAGACUGAGAAAUAGAACCAUCCCCACGAUCUCCAACAAGUCUCUUCAUGGCCUUUCUCAGUGUAAUUACCUUCAACAAUCACCUUCCUGAUUUCUAACACCACAGAUUUGUUUAGUUUGUUUUGAGCUACAGUACAUAUAAACAAAAGCAUGUAUGCCUUUGUGUAUGGCAUCACUUCAAUAUUAUGUUUGUGAGAUUCUUCCAAUUUGUGUGUAAUUGAAAAUUCUUUGUUCUUAUUGCUCUACUGUUCCUUUGUAUGAAAAACAACUAUCUUUUCUAUUGUUGAUGGACUUUGGACUGUUUUCAGUUUGGGACUAAAAUGUCUAGAAUAGUUUUGUUUCCUACAAGUGAACCCUGAUUCAUUUGUUUUACCUGAAUCUAUUCUGCCAUGCUUUGGUCCACACAUAUG